UUAGCUGAAGCCAAAAAGAGGCCUCUCAUUGUUAAUGAGAUAAUUGAAGUACUCCAGUUAUA
rnacentral:tRNA from 1 species